rnacentral:rRNA from 2 species
UUUCCGUAGGGUGAACCUGCGGAAGGAUCAUUA